rnacentral:rRNA from 1 species
UGACGUCAAGUCCUCAUGGCCCUUAUGACCAGGGCUACACACGUGCUACAAUGGCCGGUACAAAGAGUUGCGAUACCGCGAGGUGGAGCUAAUACUCAUAAAGCCGGUCUCAGUUCGGAUUGGAGUCUGCAACUCGACUCCAUGAAGUUGGAAUCGCUAGUAAUCGCGGAUCAGCACGCCGCGGUGAAUACGUUCCCGGGCCUU